UCCAUUUACAGCUGCUGAUGAUCAUUGUU
rnacentral:piRNA from 1 species